rnacentral:sRNA from 2 species
AAAAAUGUUUUCUAGGGUUCCGCAACACGCUUUGUUGGUCUGGUCCGAGAGAAAACUCACAGCCUGGCUGUGUCACGGAGGGAUAAAAGCCUGGGAGAG